AGUGAACGCUGGCGGUAGGCCUAACACAUGCAAGUCGAACGGCAGCACAGUAAGAUCGUGCCCUUACGGGUGGCGAGUGGCGGACGGGUGAGGAAUACAUCGCAAUCUACUUUUUCGUGGGUGAUAACGUAGAGCCACUUACGCUAAUACCGCAUACGACCUACGGGUGAAAGCAGGGGAUCUUCGGACCUUUCGCGAUUGAUUGAGCCGAUGUCGGAUUAGCUAGUUGGCGGGGUAACGGCCCACCAAGGCGACGAUCCGUAGCUGGUCUGAGAGGAUGAUCAGCCACACUGGAACUGAGACACGGUCCAGACUCCUACGGGAGGCAGCAGUGGGGAAUAUUGGACAAUGGGCGCAAGCCUGAUCCAGCCAUGCCGCGUGGGUGAAGAAGGCCUUCGGGUUGUAAAGCCCUUUUGUUGGGAAAGAAAAGCAGCAGGUGAAUACCUCGCUGUUCUGACGGUACCCAAAGAAUAAGCACCGGCUAACUUCGUG
rnacentral:rRNA from 1 species